GAAUAACCAUUAGCUGAUAAUCAUUAAUAGAUUUUUAUUGAUACAGAUUCGUCACCAACAUCAAAGCAAAGUGACAAGGACAAACAAGAGACCAUGGCCGCGUUCCGUUGGGGACCGUAUGGCGUACAGUAUGGCAUACUUCCCCCGAAUCGGGGGGGACCAGCAUACGGCUCGCCUGCGGGAGCGUGCGGGACCUUGCGCUCCUCGGAGGUGAAUGCUUGGCGGUGUCUGGCAACUAUUGUUUAUCAACAAACCGCAGACGUCCGCCGCUUCACCACUAUAUUAUCAGUGUGGGGGAUGUAAAUGCUAUUUUGACAGCUUAUGCGACGUCACAGAACAUCAAAAACAAUGUGCCUCUGAGGCAGAAGAGACAGCCUCUACCGCCAUGGUAGCUGCUGCAGAGGCCCCUCCAGCACCUGUGGCUGCAGGGACAGUUUCCCUUUGCAUUCGAAAGUGUUCUAUAAGUCUUUCCCGGAGUAAAGAGGCACUAUCA